GACGAACGCUGGCGGCGUGCUUAACACAUGCAAGUCGUACGGUAAGGCCCUUUCGGGGGUACACGAGUGGCGAACGGGUGAGUAACACGUGAGUAACCUGCCCACAACUUUGGGAUAACGCUAGGAAACUGGUGCUAAUACUGGAUAUGUGCUCCUGCUGCAUGGUGGGGGUUGGAAAGCUCCGGCGGUUGUGGAUGGACUCGCGGCCUAUCAGCUUGUUGGUGGGGUAGUGGCCUACCAAGGCGGCGACGGGUAGCCGGCCUGAGAGGGUGACCGGCCACAUUGGGACUGAGAUACGGCCCAGACUCCUACGGGAGGCAGCAGUGGGGAAUAUUGCACAAUGGGCGCAAGCCUGAUGCAGCAACGCCGCGGGCGGGAUGACGGCCUUCGGGUUGUAAGCCGCUUUCAGCAGGGACGAAGCUUUUUGUGACGGUACCUGCAGAAGAAGCACCGGCUAACUACGUG
rnacentral:rRNA from 1 species